GUCGGAGUCCAACUAGGGUAUCGGCGAGCCGGCGGUCUCUGCGUCUCCGGUGCCUGCUGGAAUCGAAACGUAUUUGUAACAGACGCGUGUGAUUGCAAAGAUCGGGGGAGAGUCCCGUGCUUUCCGAAUACAAAGUGUACAACGGUGCGGGACCUGCUUUGACUAGAGAUAAACUGCCGAUUUAAGUUGUCUGUCGUAUCUGCCGUGGUUCCUUCGUUCAGAACGAAAAUCGUUUUAUCUGUACAAUUAAAACUACUGUGCCCUUAGUUUUUCCCCUCCUACAAGCAGACAUACGAUUUUGUUUCAACAUCGGUUGAGAAAAAAAAAUUCCACCAAUAGAAAGUCAGUUAAAAAACAUGGAAAUUCUUUGACAAGCUGAGAAAAAACCGAGAGCCAUUUUUACCCUCUGUUUAAAAACAUGAAAAAAAAGAUAUAUGCAAAAGCUUUUUAGACUGCCAGUAACCAACAUGUAUUGCCUUGUUUGGCGUUCGGGGCAAACAUCGAUUACAAAGAAAGAAAAUCCUGCCCCAUGCCACUCUCGGCUUUACCAUCCCUCCCUUCGCACAAUAUCACAUCGUGUUGCACGAGAUUCACCCCCCUCCCCUAGCACGAGACCACACCAUGCCACACAAGAUCCGCGCCGCCCUGCAUAAGGUCUCAUCAUGCCACGCGAGAUCCAACCCCCUUCCCAGACACGAGAUCUCAUCAUGUCGCGCGAGAUCCAUCCUCCGACUCCUCCCGCUCAAGAUCCCAUUGUGUCGCGCGAGAUCCAUACCCCUAUGUGCACGAGACCACAUCGUUGCGCGAGAUCCAUCCUAUGUCCACUUCUUCCGCGACAACGAUGGCUCCUCUACCACCGCGCCACGCAAGACGCAUCGUAACCCGUCCCGCCGACCGCCAUUAAUCACGCAUCCGAGGUGUGGGAUCUUGGGGACUUACCGGUGGUCACACGAGAUCCCGUGAGAUUUGAUGAUGGUUGCCCGCCAUGGUGCUUGGGCUGUCAACCCCCUCCCCUCCCACCUUGCCUCGCGGCUCGACGGUCCCGCUAGCCUCUUGCUCCGGUCGCUGCUUGAACAACCAUGAUGGCAAACACCAAUGUCUUCCCCUUACCAGGCUUGGGCUCCUCCUG
rnacentral:lncRNA from 1 species